UAUUUUCUCCUAACUGCUCUAUACUACUGUCUGUAGUAUUGUAUGAUUACAGAUACUUUACUUUUCGCUUCGUAUACAGAGGAAAUAUCUAUGUAUACGGCGGGUCUGUUAGCGAACCCGGGGAACCGAGUAAUCCGGGGCGUGACAUUUUAAAUUUAUAAUUAAGAUUUAAAACUAAAAUUUAAAAUUUAAAAUUAAAAUUUAAAAUUUUAAAUUUUAAAAUUUAAAAUUUAAAUUUUAAUAUUCAAAAAUUUAAAAAUUUAAAAUUUAAAUAUUUAAAAAUUUAAAUUUAAAGUCCACCAUGUUUUUAUUUUUAUAAUUUAAAAAUUAAAAUUAAAAUUUUUAAUUUUAAAAUUUAAUUUAAAAUUUAAUUUUUAAUUUUUACUUUUUAAAAUUUAUAUUAUUUAAUCUCAAAAUUAAUGAUUAUAGUUUUUAAUUCUAAAUUUAAUAAAUUUUAAAUUUUAAAUUUUUUGAAUUUAAAAUUUAAAAUUAAUUUUUUAAAUUUUUAAUUUUUAAAAUUUAUAUUUUUUUAUCUCAAAAUUAAAUUUUAUAGUUUUAAUUCUAAAUUUUAAAUUUUAAAUUCUAUAUUUUAUAUUUAAAAUUUAAAAUUUUAAUUUAGAAUUUUAAAAUUUAAAAGUUAAAAUUUUAAUUUUAAAAAUAUAAAUAUAAAAUUUUAAAAACUCAAAUUCAAAUAUAAUAAGAGGGUAAUAAUAUUAUAUUUUAUAUAUAUUAAUAAUUAUUUUUCUUAUUCUAUCUUUUCUAUCCAAAUGCUAAUUUUCUUAUUUUCGGUAACAAACCAAUUUUCAUUCAAAUGCAAAAGUAAUAUAUUUCUUACUUAUACUCGAAUUUAUAUCUAUUUCUGAAAUUGACAAUUCUUGCUUAUAUCUGAACCAAAUGAUACCUUAGUAUGACAAAUAAGACCAUAGCCAGUAAAGAUAAUAAAUCUUGACUUAAAUAUGUGCAUAGUAUGUGUUAGGAUUUGGUUAGAUUUGUAGUUAAAUCCUAUUUGGAUAAGAAUUAAUAUUUAAAUCUAUUUGAGAUAAAUUAAGAUUUAAAUAUUAAAUAGAGGAUAAACCUAACUAGAUUAGGAUUAAUAUUUAAAUCUAUUAGAGAUUGAUUAAGAUAGAUUUAGAUAUUAAUUAAAGUAUGAAUCCUAAAUAGAUUAGGAUUGGGGUACGUUUUAAGUUAAGCAUUAUAAAUAGGCAUUGUGGCUCUCUUUUUUGAGAGGAGUACGGCUGGAACCAUUGGGGUGUCGUACCAGAGAGAGAAAAAAAAGAGAGAGAGAGUUAUUUUAGUGCACCUCGUGCACGGGUGCACGCGGAGAGGUCUUCUUUGUGGGUUCAU
rnacentral:lncRNA from 1 species